UACGUAGGGGGCAAGCGUUGUCCGGAAUUAUUGGGCGUAAAGAGCGCGUAGGCGGUCCGGUAAGUCGGUUGUGAAAGUCGGGGGCUCAACCCUCGGAUGCCGAUCGAUACUGUCGGGCUAGAGUCCGGAAGAGGCGAGUGGAAUUCCUGGUGUAGCGGUGAAAUGCGCAGAUAUCAGGAGGAACACCAAUGGCGAAAGCAGCUUUCUGGGACGGUACUGACGCUGAGACGCGAAAGCGUGGGGAGCGAACAGG
rnacentral:rRNA from 1 species